rnacentral:rRNA from 1 species
AAAGACCUAGCUAGUAAUAGGUAUACUUUAGGAGGGGCUUGCGCCAUAUUAGUUAGUUGGUAGGGUAAUGGCCUACCAAGACGAUGAUGUGUAGCUGGACUGAGAGGUUGAACAGCCACAUUGGGACUGAGACACGGCCCAAACUCCUACGGGAGGCAGCAGUAAGGAAUUUUCGGCAAUGGAGGAAACUCUGACCGAGCAACGCCGCGUGAACGACGAAGUACUUUGGUAUGUAAAGUUCUUUUAUCAAGGAAGAAAAGCAAGUGGCGAACCAUUUGUUUGCCGGUACUUGAUGAAUAAGCCCCGGCUAAUUAUGUGCCAGCAGCCGCGGUAAGACAUAAGGGGCAAGUGUUAUCCGGAAUUAUUGGGCGUAAAGGGUGCGUAGGCGGUCUAGUAAGUCAGUGGUGUAAUGGCAACGCUCAACGUUGUCCGGCUAUUGAAACUGCUAAACUUGAGUUAGAUAGAGGCGAGUGGAAUUCCAUGUGUAGCGGUAAAAUGCGUAAAUAUAUGGAGGAACACCAGAGGCGUAGGCGGCUCGCUGGGUCUUAACUGACGCUGAGGCACGAAAGCGUGGGGAGCAAACAGGAUUAGAUACCCUGGUAGUCCACGCCGUAAACGAUGAGUACUAAGUGUCGGGUUAAACCGGUACUGAAGUUAACACAUUAAGUACUCCGCCUGAGUAGUACGUACGCAAGUAUGAAACUUAAAGGAAUUGACGGGACUCCGCACAAGCGGUGGAUCAUGUUGUUUAAUUCGAAGAUACCCGAAAAACCUUACCAGGUCUUGACAUGUUUUUGCGAAACGGUAGUAAUAUCGUAGAGGUUAUCAGAAACACAGGUGGUGCAUGGUUGUCGUCAGCUCGUGUCGUGAGAUGUUAGGUUAAGUCCUAAAACGAGCGAAACCCUUAUCGUUAGUUGCCAGCACGUUAUGGUGGGGACUUUAACGAGACUGCCAGUGAUAAACUGGAGGAAGGUGAGGAUCACGUCAAAUCAGCAUGCCCCUUAUGACCUGGGCUACAAACGUGAUACAAUGGCUGUUACAAAGGGUAGCUGAAACGUAAGUUCUUGGCCAAUCCCCAAAAACAGUCUCAGUCCGGAUUGAAGUCUGCAACUCGACUUCAUGAAGUUGGAAUCGCUAGUAAUCGCGAAUCA